rnacentral:rRNA from 1 species
UACAGAGGGUGCGAGCGUUAAUCGGAAUUACUGGGCGUAAAGCGUGCGUAGACGGUUGCGUAAGUCAGAUGUGAAAGCCCCGGGCUCAACCUGGGAACUGCAUUUGAGACUGCUCUGCUCGGGUGCGGAAGAGGGAAGCGGAAUUUCCGGUGUAGCGGUGAAAUGCGUAGAUAUCGGAAGGAACACCAGUGGCGAAAGCGGCUUCCUGGUCCGACACCGACGUUCAGGCACGAAAGCGUGGGGAGCAAACAAG